rnacentral:rRNA from 1 species
UACGCCCGAUCUCGUCCGAUCUCGGAAGCUAAGCAGGGUCGGGCCUGGUUAGUACUUGGAUGGGAGGCCGCCUGGGAAUACAAGGUGCUGUAAGCUU